GUCUUUCCUACGCGAUGGACAUCCUCACACUGUGAACCAAAGCAGUCCCUCCAUUGAGUUGCUUUUCAGCAUUUUUGUUCGGGUUUUGCAAUUCUGAAAAUCCAUCCCAGCCAAACAUUGAGUCAUGCCCCCAGUCCUUCAGUGGCCUUAUGUCACGGCAGUGAAAAGAUUGAAAACAUUUCUGUUUCUGCUGGAAGACACAUUAACAUGUCUUUUGUACACAAUGAUGGCGAUAGUGCAGCCAACAUUAUUCUCUGGUUUCACUGGCAUGUCUCACCCUCACAGUCAUCCUCUUGAAGGCCUGGGGUGCUACAAUAAGGAGUUAUCAAGCUGUCUAAGGUGUGGCCUGAUCAUUGAUCACCCGCUUAUUUAGAUUGGACUGUUCUAUUGCACAGCACACCAUGGUUGCAUUUGGGUAUGAAGCAUGGACCGUCCUAACUGAAGACUUUGGCUCAUAUGAAUCAUUUUUGGAUACGAAGUCCUGACUUUUGUUUUUAAGUCAAGGUCACGAGUACCCAGGCUGCAACAAACUUGCUGCGGAUGACCUUGAGUUCCUCAUGCUCUUACCUCCGGCACUGAGUGUGAAGUUUACGAGCAUGGACCAUCGUGCCCAGCUUACAUGCUGCUAGGCAUCGGACUUAGGGUUUCGUGCUGCUUGGCCAGCACUCAGUCAGCCGAGCCACAUUCUCUGCUCUGAAGUGCUGACCUUCUGGAAACAAGAAUAAGGAUAAAAUUGUCUGUCUCCAGAUGGCUCGUUAGACCCAAGGAGCAAUUCUCUUUCACUUAUAAUAUCUGCAAGUAUUUGAAUUGAUACUGAUAUCUUCAGAUUUUGUUGAAAGCUGUUGUGCAGGUCCCAGCUAUUCCAUGUCUUCAUGGCAGAUGAGAAGUGCAUGGCUGUCUGUAAGCAGAGUGUAAAAGAUGGAACAGAUUGUUUUCUUAGGUGCACACAGGCUGACACUGAAGAUGCACACGUGCCAUUGAAAUAAACCAAGAGUAUUGUGUGGCUUCCAGAGCCCUGCCUGUACCUGCACCUUUUCCUCUUCCACUCAAGAACUCAUGUUAGCAGAUCACCGGUUUUAUUGACAACAGUCAUCAGCACCAGAGAAGAAGGACCCUAAUUGUCUCUGACUUUCAGAACAGAUAAUUGUUCUUCUCCUAGAUCACAAGUUCUGUAGUGUUGAGACCUCUUCAGCUGUUGUCAGAGGCUGUUCUGUCACAUAGGAAGCAGAAUUGAGGGUUACAGACAACAUCAGCAAACUCUGGCUAGAAUUUGUUGGAUGAACAGUCAGAGCCUGAAAUUCAGGAGUUGGAGUGGCAAGCAGGUUGAUGCUACAGACUGGAUCUCCAGGGACAUCAGAAGCGCAGUGUUAUGGACCUUUCCUUUGUAGUGCUGAUGCCUUUAUUUGUUGUCUUUAGUGACCUGCCAUCGGUUUUCAGGAAGACUGGGCUGUGCCUACAGCACAAACACUGAUACCAUCACUUCUCUGUAUCGGGGCACUUCACAGGGCAAAGGGAAUGCUGGGAGAGCAAUACGUUUUUAAAGUUUUUUUUAAUUGAUAUACUUUAUUUGAAAUGUUAUAUAGUAUUGAAAACUAAUUGUAGAGACAACAGAUGUUAUUAAUUUAUAUAACUGUUUACCAUAAAAGAGAGACAUGAAAAG
rnacentral:lncRNA from 1 species